rnacentral:rRNA from 1 species
GAUGAACGCUAGCGGCAGGCCUAAUACAUGCAAGCCGAACGGCAAGUUUGAUAGCAAUAUUGGACCUAGAGUGGCGCAAGGGUGCGUAACACGUAUGCAACCUGCCCGCGACAGGAGGAUAGCUCCCCGAAAGGGGAAUUAACCCUCCAUAACACCAUGAGAAGGCCUCUGAUUAUGGUUAAACCGCAAGGGGUCGCGGAUGGGCAUGCGGUUGAUUAGCUAGUUGGCGGGGUAAAGGCCCACCAAGGCGGUGAUCAAUAGGGGUUCUGAGAGGAAGGUCCCCCACACUGGCACUGGGAUACGGGCCAGACUCCUACGGGAGGCAGCAGUAGGGAAUAUUGGACAAUGGUUGCAAGACUGAUCCAGCCAUGCCGCGUGCAGGAAGAAGGCCUUCUGGGUCGUAAACUGCUUUUUACUGUGGAUAAAAUACCCGUGCGCGGGGAAUUGAAGGUAACAGGGGAAUAAGCCACGGCUAACUACGUG